UACGGAGGGUGCGAGCGUUAAUCGGAAUUACUGGGCGUAAAGCGCACGCAGGCGGUUAUAUAAGCCAGAUGUGAAAUCCCCGGGCUCAACCUGGGAAUUGCAUUUGGAACUGUAUGACUAGAAUACGAGAGAGGGUGGUAGAAUUUCAGGUGUAGCGGUGAAAUGCGUAGAGAUCUGAAGGAAUACCGGUGGCGAAGGCGGCCACCUGGCUCGAUAUUGACGCUCAUGUGCGAAAGCGUGGGUAGCGAACAGG
rnacentral:rRNA from 1 species